CAAGUCGAACGCGAAAGGGGGGCAACCCCUGAGUAGAGUGGCGAACGGGUGAGUAAUACAUCGGAACGUACCCAGUAGCGGGGGAUAACCUCUCGAAAGAGAGGCUAAUACCGCAUACGACCUAUGGGUGAAAGAGGGGGAUCGCAAGACCUCUCACUAUUGGAGCGGCCGAUGUCGGAUUAGCUAGUUGGUGGGGUAAUGGCCUACCAAGGCGACGAUCCGUAGCUGGUCUGAGAGGACGGCCAGCCACACUGGAACUGAGACACGGUCCAGACUCCUACGGGAGGCAGCAGUGGGGAAUUUUGGACAAUGGGCGAAAGCCUGAUCCAGCCAUGCCGCGUGAGUGAAGAAGGCCUUCGGGUUGUAAAGCUCUUUCGGCUGGGACGAAAAGGUCCGUGCUAACACCACGGAUCCAUGACGGUACCAGCAGAAGAAGCACCGGCUAACUACGUGCCAGCAGCCGCGGUAAUACGUAGGGUGCAGGCGUUAAUCGGAAUUACUGGGCGUAAAGCGUGCGCAGGCGGUUUGCUAAGACAGGUGUGAAAUCCCCGGGCUUAACCUGGGAACUGCGCUUGUAACUGGCAAGCUGGAGUGUGGCAGAGGGGGGUGGAAUUCCACGUGUAGCAGUGAAAUGCGUAGAGAUGUGGAGGAACACCGAUGGCGAAGGCAGCCCCCUGGGCUAACACUGACGCUCAUGCACGAAAGCGUGGGGAGCAAACAGGAUUAGAUACCCUGGUAGUCCACGCCCUAAACUAUGUCAACUGGUUGUCGGGGAAGCAAUUCCUUGGUAACGAAGCUAACGCGUGAAGUUGACCGCCUGGGGAUACGGCC
rnacentral:rRNA from 1 species